GACGAACGCUGGCGGCGUGCUUAACACAUGCAAGUCGUACGGUAAGGCCCUUUCGGGGGUACCCGAGUGGCGAACGGGAGAGUAACACGUGAGUAACCUGCCCACAACUUUGGGAUAACGCUAGGAAACUGGUGCUAAUACUGGAUAUGUGCUCCUGCUGCAUGGUGGGGGUUGGAAAGCUCCGGCGGUUGUGGAUGGACUGGCGGCCUAUCAGAUUGUUGGUGGGGUAGUGGCCUACCAAGGCGGCGACGGGUAGCCGGCCUGAGUGGGUGACCGGCCACAGUGAGACUGAGAUUCGGCCCCGACUCCGACUGGAGCCAGCGGUGGGGAAUAUUGCUAAAUGGGCGCAAGCCUGAGGCAGCAACGCCGCGUGCGGGAGGACGGCCUUCGUGUUGUAAACCGCUUUCAGCAGGGACGAAGCUUUUUGUGACGGUACCUGCAGAAGAAGCACCGGCUAACUACGUG
rnacentral:rRNA from 1 species